rnacentral:rRNA from 1 species
UACAGAGGUCUCAACCGUUGUUCGGAUUUAUUGGGCGUAAAGGGUGCGUAGGCGGCGGGGCAAGUCAGGUGUGAAAUCUCGGGGCUCAACCCCGAAACUGCACUUGAUACUGCCUUGCUAGAGUACUGGAGAGGAGACUGGAAUUUACGGUGUAGCAGUGAACUGCGUAGAUAUCGUAAGGAAGACCAGUGGCGAAGGCGAGUCUCUGGACAGUUAUCGACGCUGAGGCACGAAGGCUAGGGGAGCAAACGGG